AAAAACUCCGGUGGUAUGAGAUGGGCCCGCGUCUGAUUAGCUAGUUGGCGGGGUAACGGCCCACCAAGGCGACGAUCAGUAGCCGACCUGAGAGGGUGACCGGCCACAUUGGGACUGAGACACGGCCCAAACUCCUACGGGAGGCAGCAGUGGGGAAUAUUGCACAAUGGGGGAAACCCUGAUGCAGCGACGCCGCGUGAGCGAUGAAGUAUUUCGGUAUGUAAAGCUCUAUCAGCAGGGAAGAAGAUGACGGUACCUGACUAAGAAGCCCCGGCUAACUACGUGCCAGCAGCCGCGGUAAUACGUAGGGGGCAAGCGUUAUCCGGAUUUACUGGGUGUAAAGGGAGCGUAGACGGCGGUGCAAGCCAGAUGUGAAAGCCCGGGGCUCAACCCCGGGACUGCAUUUGGAACUGUAUGGCUGGAGUGUCGGAGAGGCAGGCGGAAUUCCUAGUGUAGCGGUGAAAUGCGUAGAUAUUAGGAGGAACACCAGUGGCGAAGGCGGCCUGCUGGACGAUGACUGACGUUGAGGCUCGAAAGCGUGGGGAGCAAACAGGAUUAGAUACCCUGGUAGUCUACGCCGUAAACGAUGACUACUAGGUGUCGGGCAGCAAAGC
rnacentral:rRNA from 1 species